AAACAACAUUUAUUACGUCACAAUCAAACAAGGGAACAUACAUCACUGCACUAAUAGGGAAAAAACAUGGGUUCUGUCCCGUCAAAGAUUAAAAAGAAAAGUAAGCAGCAAGGAGGCAAGCAAUCUUCAAAAAGCAAUCCUUCUAGCUCACCGGAAGAGGUUCGGCGGAGACAACCCAAACGGACGGCCCGGAGAGCGUCGGUGGUGCCGGGACUGGAUACAAUUCAAGACGAUCCUGAUGAAGAGGAGGCCGGCAGCUGGGAUUUUGGCUCAUCGGAGAGCGCGAACAUCGCUUACGGGGAAGAUGUCUCCGACCAGAGCAGAUCAUCUCAUCACAGCGACAGGCGGGACCCCCAAAGAUCAUAGUUUAUCAGAACAGCAGAUCUGGAGAAAACUGUACCGAUAAAGUGGAACUGAUUUCGAUAAUAUUUUGUAAUGGACCUAUCGUGGUAUUUUCUUGCCCUUGACACACAAAGUGUAAAUGUAUGAUCUGCUACACUACAUCAGAAUGGCGUGUUUUUUUUUAUAGCAGGAGAAUGAAAAUGUCACUAUUCACUCAAUAUUGAAUUUUGAUCAACUGAGGUUGAUACAAUGCCGAAACACUGUGCGUUAUAACAAAACUGUAAAAAACGAACUAGAACCAAAGUGACAUAUCCACUCAAUAUUCAAUAUUGAUCAGCUGAGAGUGAUAACGCGCAGAACAGUCGAACUGUUGUAACGUUUUAAUAUAUUCAUGCGUUAUAACGUAAGGGAUAUAGAAUUAAAGUGACACUUUUCAGUGG